UAUAUUAUGUCCCAAAGAGUGACAAUAGGUAUAAAAUUAAUACCUUAACUUUGAACUCCAAUAACUCCUUUAUAAAAACUUCAAAUCACACAAAAUUUGCAUCCAAUCCAUAUUCAAAAACCUAAACUUGAUGAUUCUAGCCUCCAAAGCUCGAAUAAUUUUGAAAGAAAAAUCUUAAUCCCUAAUAAGGCAUUGGGCAGCCUCAUUGAAGUCCAUUGGACAAGGCCUUCGAUCCAUAGGAAUGAAGAUCCUCAUUUCUUGCCUUCAUCCAACCAUGCCUUGCUUUCAUCCCUCCCAAUAAAUCUCCUAUUAGUUAAGAUUUUCUUCUUUAGGCUCUUAUCUCCUAUCAAGGCUUUAUACUAAAUAUUUAGAUCUUAUAAUUUUUUUAAAUACUAUAAUCAAAAAAGAUAAAAUUUAAAAUAUAU
rnacentral:lncRNA from 1 species